GUUGGGCUAGGAAUCUGUAUUGGGCUGAGUUGAACCUAAUUGGAUCUGUGGGCUGGUUUGGUAUGGGCCUGAGAUCUGAUCUGGACCUGAAUCUGGUUUGGUUCAAUUGGGCCUAAUCUGUUUUGGGCUACAAUUAGUUUUGGGUUUAAAGGAUCCUGAUUUUUGGGGUUUUGGUUUAUCUGUUCUUAGGGUCUAUGUCUGAUCUUAGGGGCCCAUUCUUGGAUCCAUGAACUUAGAAAUUUAAGGGAUUGGGAAUAAUUUAAAUUAUGUUUCUUAGUUAAUUAAAUAAUUAAUAUUUAUGUUUAACCAGGGGUUCGUGAUAUCUGUGGCAGGGAUUUUUAAGCGAGCCCAGGAGAUGAUUGAUGGGGGAUUCGGGAGGAAAGGACUUAUGACACUGGACAUAGAUAGAUUUAGAUUCAUUUUGUCAUAAGUAAUUGAUCUUGUAAAUAAAUGUUAUCAACUUUAUUUGAGACAUUUGAAAUUGAAUUAUUGAUUUGAUUAUCAUAAAUGAUAGAUUUUUAGUAUUGA